rnacentral:rRNA from 1 species
UACAGAGGGGGCAAGCGUUAUUCGGAAUUAUUGGGCGUAAAGAGCUUGUAGGCGGUUUGUCGCGUCUGCUGUGAAAAUCCGGGGCUCAACCCCGGACUUGCAGUGGGUACGGGCAGACUAGAGUGUGGUAGGGGAGACUGGAAUUCCUGGUGUAGCGGUGAAAUGCGCAGAUAUCAGGAGGAACACCGAUGGCGAAGGCAGGUCUCUGGGCUGACACUGACGCUCAUGCACGAAAGCGUGGGGAGCAAACAGG